ensembl:lncRNA
CUUGAGAUGAAAACAGAAGAAAAUUAUCCUGACAGAAAAUGUUCACUAUGAGUCAAGUGCUACUCUAGGUGCUUUAUAUAUCCAUCUGGACACAUUUAAUCCAUACUCCACCUUCAUGAGGAAGAUACUUUUAUCCCAUUUUAUAAAUCAGGAAAUUGACAAACACAGAGGUUACAUAACUUAUUUAAGGAGUUUCAGUUGUAGCUAAGUGGUAACAAACUCAACUAGUAUCCAUGAGGAUGUGGGUUUGAUACCUGGCCUUACUCAGUGGGUUAAAGGAUCCAGCAUUGCCAUGAGCUGGGUGUAGGUUGCAGACACAGCUCACAUCUCACGUUGCUGCGCCUGUGGUGUAGGCCGGCAGCUGCAGCUCCGAUUUGACCCCUAGACUAGGAACUUCUAUAUGCUGUGGGUCUGGCCCUAAAAAAAAAGAAAAAAAGAAAAAAGAAAAAAAAAAACUGAUUUAAGACAGAAUCAUAUGAACCAGGUGGCUGAAAUCAAACACCACACUCUAUUGCCUUUCAUAGACCUUAGGCAAAAGGUCUAGGAGUGCUUUAGAAGUAUUCAUUCACUUAGCUGCACUAGCUAUAAUAUGAGCUAGAAAACAGUGUACUAGGGAUAGAUCAGAGGAUAAAGAAGUUUUUAGAUUCUGUUCCUAAAUAUAUUACCAAUUAUCAAUGAGGCUAAAGUUUCCAGGUUAGAAUUUCUGUGACCUGCUCACAACUUCCAAUUCCUUCAACUCUGAAGGGAAAUAAUCAUAGACCUCAUCUCCUGGGCUUGGUCUGAAGAUGAAAAUAGACAACACUCAUGAAACACUAAGCACAGAAUCUGCCACCAAAUGGUAAAGUUAAAACCACACCACCAAAAACACUGGCUCUCCCUCUGCUGAUUUCCACCAGCACUGCCACAUUUGACUGGUCAGGAGUUCACGUGGCAACCAUGGUGACAGAGAAAGGGGAGAGAACUGGGUGGGAAAAAAAAGAAAAAGAGAAAGAAACAGGAAGGUGUAGCCUCUUGGUCUUUAUUCUUACAGGCAUUUUUUUUUUUAAAAUAAAAAGUAACUUUAGUAUCAAGGUUGUGUGAAAAAGUCAUAUGUUCCCUGUAGACUUUCCACAUUACCUCUCUAAAGGCAUCUGUCACACGUCACAUUAGCUCAGGGUUUCCCAUCCUGUGACUUGGAAUGUUGUGUGAGCACUUUAUCCUGACCAUCCAUAAUACAUUCGAAUUCUGACCCUCAUCUCAAUUUCUUCUUCUGCAGGGAAGACAGUUCAGGUACUGAGUCCUUGAAUCACGACCCUAGGUUCAUUUUCUAAACUUUGGUUUUGCUUUUUUUUUCUUUUAAACUCUCAUCUAUGUUAUUCAAUUUUUUUUUUCCUUCUCUCAAAAAGCUUAGCCAGGCAAGAUAUUUAACUUAUGCACAACCUAGAGACAUGAAAAUGAAAGGAAGCCAAAGAGGUUUCCCCGACACGCUCAUCCUCUGCUCUUAUGAAACAGGUUCUAUGUUGGAAUCACACAGAACCUUUUGGGCCUUCUUUCUUUCCCUUCCCUAUAUAAAGUCUCCUAACUAGGAUCCUCUUAUAGGAUCAAGAGAAAGAAAUAUGUCAGGGUAUCAGUGGCUUUUCAAGAUUCCCUAAAGAGAAUAUUUAAUACAAGUCAAUAUCACAUUACCCUCCCCCCACAUCUUAUGAGAAAAGGUUCAGCUGAUGGUUUUACUAUGUUGCUUUGAGUUGUGUUGUCCAAGAAGGAAGUCCUGCUACUGGGAGAUAGAUUUAGAGAAACAUUUUGUUUUUACACAGCCAAAUAAUAUUCAACCUCUUAGUCUAUGAAACAGUUACUCAAACUCCCUUGAUACUUCCCCCCAACAUUCCGAGUCUUCCCUGCCUAUAGCAAACUGAAAAUACAACUGAAAACAAAUCAAAUAUUUAUUAACCCAAAAAGAUCUCCUCACCUGUCCCUAGGGAAUGGCGACAGGGAGAAAUGAAGUUAUACAUUUUUUAAAAACUGCACAAUAUGCCAGUAUUGACUAUAAAAUUCACUUGUAUAUAAUUUUUGUCCUUCUGGAAUCCUGUAAUUCACAACUAGUCCUAGGCUUUAAUUUUUUAAAACAAAUCUAAAUACCAGCUACCUCUCACUCAGAUGAUUUUACUUUAAAAAAAAAAAAAAAAAAAAAAAAAAAAAAAACCCAAUGUAACUUUUCUUUUUCCUAGUGGCAGUGCACUGUGAUUUUUAUUCUUUUUUGGAGCUGAUCAAUUCUGAUUAUGUCUCGAGAUGUCUUCCUAAAUGCACUCCCAAAUGCAAAACGUCAGAGACAAAUAGGAGUUAAGUUUUGAACUUACUGCACCAACAGUGUUAUAAUGCUCCCAAAUUGCAUAAAAUAAUAUUAUAUUCAUCAAACACAGUCCUCAUAUCAAGGCUUCCUAAAGAGAUUUAUCCUUUGGUCUUGACUGUGAGGUCAAAUGCUUGAACAACUUAUGAUAGAUGGCAUAAGUCCAAGUUUUUAGUACUCAUGCAGAUCUUGGGAUAAAAACACAUUGAAUUAGAUAAAAUUACCCAUAUAGAAUUGAAAUCUCUAAAUAUGCUGAAAAUAGGAGUUCCGUUGUGGUGCAAUGGAAACGAAUCCAACUAGUAUCCAUGAGGAUGCUGCGGUGGAGGUCGCAGAUGCAGCAUGGAUCCCACGUUGCUGUGGCUGUGGCGUAGGACGGCAUCUACGGCUCCAAUUCGACCCCCAGCCUGAGAACUUCCAUAUGCUACUGGUAUGGCCCUUAAAAGCAAAAACAAAAACAAAAUGCACAAAAAAAAAAAAAAAUGCUGAAAACAUUUUUUAAAAGCUAAUUUAGGUAUGUUUAUAAUAAAAACAUUAAGCGGAAAAGAUGGGUUAACUUCUUUAACCAAUGAUAUAAUUUUGAAUAAAGACUGAGAGAUGCCAAAUCACCAAACACAUUUUUGAUUUCAAGGAAAAAAAGUAUCCAUUCCUACUGUAAAGAGUAACACAAAUGAAAGCCAGCCUGGAUUUAAACCAGUAAGAGGUAGGGAUGUAGUUCUUGCAGAACACAUGCUAAGCAUUGUGUUCAUCACAUGUGACAGUAAAACUGCUCUUGGUAAUUAUCCAAAAAUUCCAGAGAAAAGGUAAGUUUCCUGAACGCUGACAAUGAGGAAAAGUGAAUUUGUAAGUUUACCACCCAUCCUACAACAAAAUUCUAUAGUGGAUUAUUAUGUGGACUUUAUAAAGAUUCCAAAAAAGAAGCGGUGAUAUUAGAAGCCUGAAUGGGUUUAUAAGAAAUCAUGUCAAGAAAACUUUUUAAUUGGAUCACUUAGGAGUUAUUUUAAGAGAUAGCAAUUUCAUAAAGAUGUGACAAAGCCUUAAUUGAGAUAGAUCCUUACUAAUAGAAUGAAAGCUUGCAGAAUAAAGGAUGCACAGUUAAGCACUGAUAACAAUGAAUCAAUUAUUACUUCACGGCCAAACUAGAGGGAGAUUUCUGGCAGGUUGAACUCCAUCCUAUUCAACAUCACAGAUAAAAAUGCAUGGGACACUUAAGACUCACUUAUUAUGACACAGGGCAGAGGGGCUAAACUAAUCUGGAUCACAGAUUAAAGGCUUAAAAAGGCUGGACAAAAUAUUCAAGGUUUAAAAAGGCAUAAUCAGGAAAUGCUUAAUAUGGAAUUUAGUUAAUUUUUUGUAAAGUGCCUACUAUGUAGACAGCACAAUGGAACAUAAGAAGGUCUAUCUCAGCAUUUGCCAAUCUUUUAUGAGUGUGAUUAUACAAAUUAUUAGCUAAAAAUACUAAUUCUUAUAUACCAUUCUAAACAAGAAUAAUUUCCAGGAGAGGUUACUGGAAAGCUACUAUUUUUUUUUUUUUUAAGCAUAUCAGGUAAUUUUUCUCAUUGCAAAGGUUUUUGGUAACACUGAUCUAUGUGAAAUAGCUGUUUACCUCAGGAAAUCUGCAGAAGGGAGGAGACAAAAGCCAUAAAAUAUUUGUGAAAGUUUCGUAUACAGUAGAUGGCUAUAGACAUGAGAAAGCUACUCUUACUCUUCUCUAAAUUAUAACGCUGAAUAUAUUGAAAGGAUUU